UGCGUAGUCGGUUUAACAAGUUGGUGAUGAAAUUCCAGGGCUCAACUCUGGCGCUAUUACCAAAACUGUUAGACUUGAGUGCGAGAGAGGUAAGUGGAAUUCCUAGUGUAGCGGUAAAAUGCAUAGAUAUUAGGAGGAACACCAGUGGCGAAGGCGACUUACUGGCUCGUAACUGACGAUGAGGCACGAAAGCGUGGGGAGCAAACA
rnacentral:rRNA from 1 species